GCCCGGGUGGUGAAAUUGGUAGACACAGGAGACUUAAAAUCUCCCGACUAUUGCAGUCGUGCCGGUUCGAUUCCGGCCUCGGGCACCA
rnacentral:tRNA from 3 species